rnacentral:lncRNA from 1 species
CUGGGAGGUGGGGUUUCCUUGGAAGGGAUGGGGUUUCCUUGGAGGGGACGGUCCUCUCUCUCCAUAAAAGCAGGUUCCUCCCUUUCCAUAGAAGCAGCUUCCCCCCUUUCCAGAGAUUCAGGUUCCACCUUUCCAUAGAAGCAGGGUCCCCCCUUUCCAUAGAAGCAGCUUCCCCACUUUCCAGAGAAGCAGGUUCCCCCCUUUCCAGAGAAGCAGGGUCCUCCCUUUCCAGAGAAGCAGGUUCCCCCCUUUCCAGAGAAGCAGGGUCCCCACUUUCCGUAGAAGCAGGAUCCCCCCUUUCCAGAGAAGCAGGGUCCCCCCUUUCCAUGGAAGCAAGUUCCCCUUUUGAACAGAGACAGGUAACAGGCAGCCAAGGAGGUUCCUCUUGGCUCCUGCUGUCGGGACCUGCAGGCUGGCUCUCUAGGGUCAGCAGGGGAUUCCCCCCUGCCGCCUAUGCUGCCCCCCUCCCCCUGCCCUGACCUCUGCUCUGGGCCUCAGGUCCUGCUAACUGCAGACUGCAGCCCAGGGCCCUCCCUGCCUGUCACUGUGGGGUCCUGAUCCCCUGGCAGCCUAGGGCCCCAACGGCACAUGCUUGGGGACUGGAGACGAAUACUUCCUGAGAUCACCCCGAAGGCCGUCCUCGCUGGCUCCUGCUGCAGUUUCUCUUUCUCUUUCAGCCAGCGAGGCAGCAGGAAGCCCAAGUGCUGAAGCUCAUCCUGCUGGCAGGGGGCAGGGGACAGCAGCCAGGGAAUGAGGGGUCCUAAGGAGAGACAUGGAGCCUCUGCGAGGCUGGGGGCCGCCACCCUGGAGCCCGGCACCCAAGGCUGACGCCCUGAGCCUGGUAGUUUCCAGAGGUCUCCAGAGGUCCAGACGGCCACCCAGGGGAUGAAGCAUGAGGGAAGCCUCCCAGAGUGAAACCCGCUUUCCCAGCGGCUGGAGCGGCCCCUCUGGCUGUGCUGGGCACUCCGCAGAGGCCAGCCAAGGGAGCAGACCUGGACUCGACCUGGGUGAAGUCCAGUCAACUAAGUACUGGUCCCGGGUGAUCAGGCCUCCCUGAGUCUUUCUCCAGCUGUCCACUUCCACAACUGGGGCAGGCGCAGAGCACAACUCUGGAGCAUCCGAAGAAGCCGAGGGGGUCUCAGCGGGAACAACCCACAGGUCCCAUCUGGGUCGCCAACUGUGUAACCAAAAGUUCAGUCUCUGAACCCGAUGCCAAUCCAAAUAACGAGGACAGAGUCUUGAGGGGAAAGGAAAGAGCGUUUACUUUCUUUGCCCAGCAGGGGGAGCACAGCAAGGGCUGGUGCCUCAAGCACUGCUAGCUCCCCAUUAAGAAACGCGUAGGGGUUUUUAUUUGGGGUUUUAGGUAGGGGAGGGGAGCUGUGACCUUCUUGGUCAGCAUUUUCCCAUCGGCCCACGUUUGGGACAGCUUCCAAGGGCGGGGAGACAAAGGAUUCCACAGAUGGACGUCCCUGGCUGUUUAUCUCCAUGGUGGAUGGUGGACUCUGGGAAGCUUCUGUUUCUUGACGUUCUCUGGGCACUAAUUUCUCUGUGAAAGAACUUCAAGGUCCUGGGAUCAGCCACAGCUUUAGUGCGAGCCCAGCUUGAGCCCAUCUGGGCUUUAACAAUGUGUAACUUCUAUUUGGUUGUGAAGCUCAGGGAGUCAGAGGGUAAAGAAACACAUUUACGUAUGAGCGUAACUAAGGACCCAGGGAACUGGGAACGUAUGCUUGUAGUUUUAACCCAUAUAUGCUGGGCUCCCUGUAGGGGAACCCAUAUCAGGGCUGAUAUUACCUAAGAGCCAGUAAGACAAUGACCAACCAGUCACAAUUACCACUCCAGUCCCAUGGCUCCAUAAGGCAGCAAUUCCUAAGCCCACCUCAGUAAAAAACCCAGCAUCUCCAGUGUCAUAAAAUACUCAACCCCUAUCCCAUUAGACUUAAACACAAUUUCUCCCUCAUCAGUUUUCAAAAUAAAUAAAACCGCCAUAACCUCCAUCAAUAACCCCAAGGGGAAUAUCCCUGGGACAGUUAAAUCAGAAACUCAAGCCUCAGGACACUGCCCAGGAGCCGGAGCCCUUGGAUAACCAAAACCCACAUCCCCUCCAAACGGGGUGUGUGGAUAGGACACUCAGAUUCAUUAAAAAAGAUGUAAUGAAGGAAAGGGUUCUGAAAGGAGUUAGUUGUGUAUAAGUCUGGUGUGCAGGGGCCGUGGGAUUCUCCUAGAGAUAGAAUUGUUGUGAGGAUGUCUGGCAUCAUGCUCUUGGCAUGUUCUGCCGGGAAGAAGCAGGCAAGUGGACUCGCUGUGUAUUCAACAUUGAAGCCAGAGACGCGUUCGACUCUCCCUGUGUUCAAUCAAUGGAACUCGCUUGGUUCCAUUGCCAGGGUUGAAAUGAAUCAUCCUGUGCCUAGUAGUCAAGAUGAAAAAUUAGUCAUAAGUAUUCUUGGGUAAAAAUUAAUGUUGAAAGUGAAAACGAUGGUACGUUAGCAGGACGGACAGUAGAAUAAUUGCUCACGUUACUUCCCACAAAACUGUUGGUGCUGCUGCUCGUAGGGGUCUAAUUAGUGCACGUGUUGAAUUUGAAGCUGAGGCUGAUCAGAGAAUGGAAUAAACAGCUAGGCCUGACAGGGUUCGUGCAAACAGUAGGCCUAGGCUUCUGUUAAUCAGUGGGCGUGGUGUGGGUCGUGGAAUUCAUCUUGUUGGGGCCAGAGGGAGGGGCGGGAUUGGUGCAACGAGAAAUUGGGAUGUUGACGGUGUUGGUGGUGUGGCAGUUCUUUAAUGAAUAGUCUGACGGCACCAGCGAUGGGCUGCAGCAGGCCACGGGGGCCGACCGUGUUGGUCCUUUGAGGAGUCCUAUGCAGCCUAACGCUUCUCACUGGACCAUCGUGAGGAGAGCAGUGGCGAGCGGGAUGGGGGUGAUGAGUCGGAGAACGCUGAUUACAAGCGCGUUGUCAGGAAGAGGAAUCGAACCUCUGGCAAUAAAGCUUUAAAUUUUACAAGAUGCCCAGCUCUGGCAUCCUGACAUACCCCGUUCCUGGGCAGGGCUGGGUCUAAAUUAAUUAGAUUAAGAUUAUAUCAUCCAUUAGUUUGAAGGUGCUUUUGAAAAGUGGGCCUAUUUCUCUCGUCCUUUCGUACGGGGAGAAAUGUGGAAUCAAUAGAAACCAAUUGGAUUAUUGCUGAUGAACUCAGAUCUCAGAGCACCUUAAUCAUUGAACAAACGACCUGUGAACAG